UGGGGGAAGGGCUAGCAUGACUCGCAGGCUUACCUGUGAGCAGGGAGAUCAGUGAAGAGGCUUGUGUCACAGUGAAAGGCAGGCAGCAAUGGCUGCCCUGGUGGGCAAGCAGAAGCAGGCUGUAGGCAUGUCACGCAUGUGCAGUAAAAAAAA